rnacentral:rRNA from 1 species
ACUGAACGCUGGCGGCAUGCUUUACGCAUGCAAGUCGAACGGCAGCGCGGGCUUCGGCCUGGCGGCGAGUGGCGAACGGGUGAGUAAUACAUCGGAACGUGCCCAGUAGUGGGGGAUAGCUCGGCGAAAGCCGGAUUAAUACCGCAUACGACCUGAGGGUGAAAGCGGGGGAUCUUCGGACCUCGCGCUAUUGGAGCGGCCGAUGGCAGAUUAGCUAGUUGGUGGGGUAAAGGCCUACCAAGGCGACGAUCUGUAGCUGGUCUGAGAGGACGACCAGCCACACUGGGACUGAGACACGGCCCAGACUCCUACGGGAGGCAGCAGUGGGGAAUUUUGGACAAUGGGCGAAAGCCUGAUCCAGCAAUGCCGCGUGUGUGAUGAAGGCCUUCGGGUUGUAAAGCACUUUUGGCGGGAACGAAAAGGACUGUGCCAAUACCACGGUUCGAUGACGGUACCCGCAGAAUAAGCACCGGCUAACUACGUG